rnacentral:rRNA from 1 species
GAGUUUGAUCCUGGCUCAGGACGAACGCUGGCGGCGUGCUUAACACAUGCAAGUCGAGCGGUAAGGCCCUUUCGGGGGUACACGAGCGGCGAACGGGUGAGUAACACGUGGGUAACCUGCCCUCAGCUCUGGGAUAAGCCCGGGAAACUGGGUCUAAUACCGGAUAUGACUCCGCAUCGCAUGGUGUGGGGUGGAAAGCCUUGUGCGGCUGAGGAUGGGCCCGCGGCCUAUCAGCUUGUUGGUGGGGUAGUGGCCUACCAAGGCGACGACGGGUAGCCGGCCUGAGAGGGCGACCGGCCACACUGGGACUGAGACACGGCCCAGACUCCUACGGGAGGCAGCAGUGGGGAAUAUUGCGCAAUGGGCGAAAGCCUGACGCAGCGACGCCGCGUGAGGGAUGACGGCCUUCGGGUUGUAAACCUCUUUCAGCUCCGACGAAGCCUUCGGGUGACGGUAGGGGCAGAAGAAGCACCGGCCAACUACGUGCCAGCAGCCGCGGUAAUACGUAGGGUGCAAGCGUUGUCCGGAAUUAUUGGGCGUAAAGAGCUCGUAGGCGGUUUGUCGCGUCGACUGUGAAAACUCAGGGGCUCAACUCCGGGCUUGCAGUUGAUACGGGCAGACUAGAGUUCGGCAGGGGAGACUGGAAUUCCUGGUGUAGCGGUGAAAUGCGCAGAUAUCAGGAGGAACACCGGUGGCGAAGGCGGGUCUCUGGGCCGAUACUGACGCUGAGGAGCGAAAGCGUGGGGAGCGAACAGGAUUAGAUACCCUGGUUAGUCCACGCCGUAACGUUGGGCGCUAGG